rnacentral:rRNA from 1 species
UCUGGUUGAUCCUGCCAGUAGUCAUAUGCUUGUCUCAAAGAUUAAGCCAUGCAUGUCUAAGUACAAACCUUAAUACGGUGAAACCGCGAAUGGCUCAUUAAAUCAGCUAUGGUUCCUUAGAUCGUCUCAUCCUACUCGGAUAACUGUGGAAAAUCUAGAGCUAAUACGUGCUUACAAGCCCUGACCUCACGGGAGGGCGCAUUUAUUAGAUCAAAACCAAUCGGGGCUUGCCCCGUCUGCUUGGUGACUCUGGAUAACUUUUGUGCUGAUCGCAUGGCCUCUGCGCUGGCGACGUAUCUUUCAAGUGUCUGCCCUAUCAACUUACGAUGGUAGGUGAUAUGCCUACCAUGGUUAUAACGGGUAACGGGGAAUCAGGGUUCGAUUCCGGAGAGGGAGCCUGAGAAACGGCUACCACAUCUAAGGAAGGCAGCAGGCGCGCAAAUUACCCACUCCCGGCACGGGGAGGUAGUGACGAAAAAUAACGAUACGGGACUCUUUUGAGGCCCCGUAAUUGGAAUGAGUACACUUUAAAUCCGUUAACAAGUAUCUAUUGGAGGGCAAGUCUGGUGCCAGCAGCCGCGGUAAUUCCAGCUCCAAUAGCGUAUAUUAAUGUUGCUGCAGUUAAAAAGCUCGUAGUUGGAUCUGAGGACUCGAAUUGGUGGUGCACCAUACGGUGUUACUGCCGAUUCGGCCUACCUAGUCGGUGCUCGCUCUUGGUGUUCUUAAUUGAAUGCCCUGAGUGCCCGGCAAGUUUACUUUGAAAAAAUUAGAGUGCUCAAAGCAGGCCAUUAGCCGGAAUACUUCAGCAUGGAAUAAUGGAAUAGGACUUCGGUUCUAUUUUGUUGGUUUUCGGAACCCGAGGUAAUGAUUAAGAGAGACAGACGGGGGCAUUCGUACUGCGGUGUUAGAGGUGAAAUUCUUGGAUCGCCGCAAGACGAACAACUGCGAAAGCAUUUGCCAAGAAUGUUUUCAUUAAUCAAGAACGAAAGUCAGAGGUUCGAAGACGAUCAGAUACCGUCCUAGUUCUGACCAUAAACGAUGCCAACUGGCGAUCCGAGAUCGUUUGCUUAUUGACCUCUCGGGCAGCCUCCGGGAAACCAAAGUUUUUAGGUUCCGGGGGAAGUAUGGUUGCAAAGCUGGAACUGUUCAAUUGCAACUCUGCCUGUGACACCAAGUGGUCGGGUUACUUGGUCUGUUCUGGCCCGGAGUCGGUAGGGUUUCCGGCCUUGUGCUCUUUCCUUACUGUUCUCUGUAACGCCGAAGGCGGGGCUUCCACGGUGGGGAAGCGGUUGUACAAAUCCGGCAAAUCCAGCCAAAUGGGUUCCGGACUCUGUCCAACCUGCAACUGGUAACAGCCUCGGCUGGCUAACAUUUGAGCUGGGACUCGCUUGGGAGGAGCGAGGAUAAUAUAAACCUCUAUGUGACUGAGGUGAGGAAUCUGGUUCUCGUAAAAUGGCUGGAGAUCCCGAGCCUGUAAGUCAUAAAUUAGUUCCCCCACGAGGGGAGGUGUCGAAUUGAAGCCAGUGCGUGCCCUUACUAGUUUAAGGGAUUGUAUACUUCCUUUGGUGUACCCACCUGGAAGUGCCCAAGGGGUCCUAUCCCUGCACUCCAUCCCCGAUUGGAGUCAGGUGACGGCUCCUUA